GAACGCUGGCGGCGUGCUUAACACAUGCAAGUCGAACGAUGAUGCCAGCUUGCUGGUGGAUUAGUGGCGAACGGGUGAGUAACACGUGAGUAACCUGCCCUUAACUCUGGGAUAAGCCUGGGAAACUGGGUCUAAUACCGGAUAUGACCUUCCAUCGCAUGGUGGUUGGUGGAAAGCUUUUUGUGGUUUUGGAUGGACUCGCGGCCUAUCAGCUUGUUGGUGAGGUAAUGGCUUACCAAGGCGACGACGGGUAGCCGGCCUGAGAGGGUGACCGGCCACACUGGGACUGAGACACGGCCCAGACUCCUACGGGAGGCAGCAGUGGGGAAUAUUGCACAAUGGGCGCAAGCCUGAUGCAGCGACGCCGCGUGAGGGAUGACGGCCUUCGGGUUGUAAACCUCUUUCAGUAGGGAAGAAGCGAAAGUGACGGUACCUGCAGAAGAAGCGCCGGCUAACUACGUGCCAGCAGCCGCGGUAAUACGUAGGGCGCAAGCGUUAUCCGGAAUUAUUGGGCGUAAAGAGCUCGUAGGCGGUUUGUCGCGUCUGCCGUGAAAGUCCGGGGCUCAACUCCGGAUCUGCGGUGGGUACGGGCAGACUAGAGUGAUGUAGGGGAGACUGGAAUUCCUGGUGUAGCGGUGAAAUGCGCAGAUAUCAGGAGGAACACCGAUGGCGAAGGCAGGUCUCUGGGCAUUAACUGACGCUGAGGAGCGAAAGCAUGGGGAGCGAACAGGAUUAGAUACCCUGGUAGUCCAUGCCGU
rnacentral:rRNA from 1 species